UACGUAGGGUCCGAGCGUUUGUCCGGAAUUAUUGGGCGUAAAGGGCUCGUAGGCGGUCCGUCACGUCGGGAGUGAAAACUCAGGGCUCAACCCUGAGCGUGCUUCCGAUACGGGCGGACUAGAGGUAUGCAGGGGAGAACGAAUUCCUGGUGUAGCGGUGGAAUGCGCAGAUAUCAGGAGGAACACCGGUGGCGAAGGCGGUUCUCUGGGCAUGAUCUGACGCUGAGGAGCGAAAGUGUGGGGAGCGAACAGG
rnacentral:rRNA from 1 species